rnacentral:rRNA from 1 species
AGGGUUUGAUCCUGGCUCAGAGUGAACGCUGGCGGCGUGUUUUAGGCAUGCAAGUCGAACGCGAAAGCCCGCAAGGGCGAGUAGAGUGGCGAAAGGGUGAGUAAUGCAUGGACAACCUACCCCUGGGACUGGAAUAACUAUUGGAAACGAUAGCUAAUGCCAGAUGGUCUUGCGGAGCGGCAUCGCUUUGCAAGUAAAUGGUUGGUCUCGGCCUUCUGCCGAGGGAGGGGUCCAUGUCCUAUUAGCUAGUUGGCGGGGUAACGGCCCACCAAGGCGACGAUGGGUAGCCGGACUAAGAGGUUGGACGGCCACACUGGGACUGAGAUACUGCCCAGACUCCUACGGGAGGCUGCAGUCGAGAAUCUUCCGCAAUGGACGCAAGUCUGACGGGGCGACGCCGCGUGUAGGAUGAAGGCCUUCGGGUUGUAAACUACUGUUGCAUUUUAGGAACACCGAGGGGUGAAUAGCCCUCUUGGGUGACCAUGAUGUGAGGAAGCACAGGCUAACACCGUGCCAGCAGCCGCGGUAAUACGGUGUGUGCAAGCGUUACUCGGAAUCACUGGGCAUAAAGAGCACGUAGGCUGGCUCGCAAGUCGGAUGUGAAAUCCCCCAGCUCAACUGGGGAACUGCAUCCGAUACUGCGGGUCUUGAGGACGAAAGGGGAGAGUGGAACUUCUGGUGGAGCGGUGAAAUGCGUAGAUAUCAGAAGGAACACCGGUGGCGAAGGCGACUCUCUGGUUCGUUUCUGACGCUGAGGUGCGAAAGCGUGGGUAGCAAACGGGAUUAGAUACCCCGGUAGUCCACGCCGUAAACGAUGAACACUAGGGAGGGGAAACUCCACGUUUUCCCUCCUGGAGCUAAUGUUUUAAGUGUUCCGCCUGGGGAGUACAGUCGCAAGGCCGAAACUCAAAGGAAUUGACGGGCGCUUUAUCGUGACUGGGA